rnacentral:lncRNA from 1 species
UGGAUAUUUUUUUUAGUACAUUCUCAUAAAUAACAAGCAAAAGAAACACUUCACAUCAAGAGAACCCCAAAUGUUCAACCGUAUGGAGGAGAAAAUUCCUAUUAAAAAGAUGGCUAAUAGCCUGAUACCCAACAUUGCUUCAGCUUCGGAUACAACUCAUAUUUAAGCCGGCAAAAGGAAAGGCGUUUCAUAAAUUUCGAAAUUAAAUCGAAAUUCUAAGCAAUUUACCAGUAAGUGCCUGUAAAAAGAAUGGUUUAGACGUUUAGUAAAGAAAAUAUAUAAAAAGGCUCCAAUUCUAAAGCUUAGGAAAAAAAAGGACUACCUGAAAGUGAAAGCCAAGAGAAGAAGACUAAACGACAGCGUUCAAUUUGCCUGAUAAGAGAAGAAUUAUGCGACUGAAAGGGAUUGUCCCAGCUGGCUGUUUCGGGCCCUGACACGGGCUCACCUCGCCACCGACUCUUCCCCCCAAAACCGCUGAAACCGCCGUGUCAAGUGGCUGUUUCAGACCAAGACACGGGCGCACCUCCCAACCAACACGAACACCCACCGACACUUCCUGCCAAAACCCCUUCUUCUACUGCUGCAGCCGCCUAGUAAGAUGGCGGUUUCAGACCCCAACACGGGCGCACCUCCCAACCACCACAAACACUCAUUGACUCUUCCCGCCAAAACCCAACACUCCCCUCUAUGUAAACCAAAAGACCCAAAUGCCAUCUUCAUUUGUUUUUC